rnacentral:lncRNA from 1 species
GGAGAUGUAUUCUUUUGAUAUGAAUGUGCCUGUCUUCUAAUAAACUCGUCGAUGAUUCUGUUUCUAUAGAAGACUGGUAAAUUUGUUUUAACUGUAACACUUCAUGAUUGAUGAUCGGUCGGCACGGCAGGGGGUGCAUUUGCGAGUGGUAGGAGUAAGUGACAGCAAGUCAUUGGUUGUUGCGUCGGAUGUUUUCACAAAGGAGUUCAACGAUAACCUCUUAUCAGAAAUUUGUCGCCUCAAGGCGGACCACUCUUCUCUCUCAACGCUUAUUAGUGGUUUCGGAGGUAAUCCUCUUGUAUUGUAUUGUUGAGGAUUUAAUAGAUUACUUAUUCUGUUUAUUUCUCAUGCUUUUGCUUUUCUUUUGAUUCUUUAUCAAAGGUGAAUGCCAAGUGUUUCUCGAUUCUGAUUUGAGAGGAAAGUUAUCAGAAAUUGCAUCUCUUCUGGGUAUAUCAACAGGUUCGUCUUCGUGACAAAUUACUAUCUUACCGGCCUUUAUACUUCUUUUGAAACACUGAUUAGUUUUUCAAUCAAUUGAAGUUUCAUGUUUGUUUUUAGAGUUUAGUGAUUCUUAUCAUUCAUUCACCUCAAGCAAGGUCAUUUCAAGCUUGGUCUUUUGCUUAAUCUUGCAACAGGUUUGGCCUUUGUUGAUUGCUCUGCCAGUUCUGAGACUGUUGAAAUAUUAACUCAAGCAGUUGAUUUGGGUUGUUGCAUUGUCUUGGCAAACAAGAAGCCUCUUAUGUCUACAAUGGUAAUAACUCUACAAGGCUUCCUUAUUUGGUUGUAACUGGACUUAGUUGGACAUGUAUAGUCAUCCUAUGGCCAUUCCAUGAUCAACCACUAACAGACUUAAUUCUGGAGAUGGCGACACUUCCUGCUGUCAUUAAAUGCUGCAAUGCCAUUUCUUUUGUGGCCAAUUCGAACAUUCUAUAUUUUUACCAUUUAAGAUGAAUUACGUUUGGUGUUUAAUUCUUUUAAAAUUAAAAAUGACAAAUUUUCAUUGAGCAAUUUAGUGCAAUAUUAAUGUUUUUGAAUUUUUUUACCAACCUCAUGCUAUUCUGUAAUGUAGGAGGAUUAUGACAAAUUGGUCUCACAUCCACGCUGUAUUCGGUAUGAGUCAACUGUAAGUGAAGUUUCCUGCUUUUGUCAUAUAAAAGGAAAUCGUGGGUGAAGUGUCUCAUUUGAUGUCUGUUUCUCCAUAGGUUGGUGCUGGCCUUCCUGUCAUAGCAUCCUUAAAUCGUAUUCUUUCUUCUGGAGACCCUGUCCAUCGUAUUGUUGGAAGUCUGAGUGGUAUUGGUUUUCUUUUCUUUUCUUUUCUUUUUUUUUUUGGGUUAGACAUUUAUUCUUCCUUCACAUAUGAAGUUCAUGCUUUUCCUGUAUCUGCUUGUAUUUUUUUGCAACCAUAUUUCAUAUAUGAAUAUUGGCUGUCAUUUGCAUAAUAUAUUUUGUAUUAGGUACAUUGGGGUAUGUAAUGAGCAAGGUUGAAGAUGGGAAGCCACUUAGUCAAGUUGUUAAAGCUGCUAAAAGCCUGGGAUACACUGAACCAGGUUUAAUUGUGAUUUUAAAUUUCUAUAUUGCAGUAGAUCAUAUCUUUUCUAUAAGUAUAUUCAGUUGCAUCUUCUAAUUUUGUUUAUGCAUGCUUACAAAUUUAUAUUAAAAUAUUUACACAAUUUAAUUCUUAUUAUUUUUCGUUUAUGGACUUUUUUUUUUUGGCUGUAAUAUUGUUUUUCCAAAUAUUCAUGCAUUAAGCAUUGUUCUUUUCAGCAUUGUUUACCAUUGACCAGUGCUUUGGAAACUUGAAGCAAAAGUUUCUUCAAUUUGGUUUGGAUUAUUAAAACACAGGAAUAGCCUGGUUUGCUUUGGUUACUUUCUUUGUCAGGUUUAUAAAGCUAUCUAAUCCUGUGGGGUAUUUUACACUUUAUGAAUUUGUUGAAGUGACAGACUGAUGACAAUUGAACCCAAGCAACUCAUCGGUACUUGUAAUUAUGGUGGAAUUCCUGAGUUUGUGGUUAUGAAAACUCCAUUAUUAAGCUUUUACGAAGACAACUUCCACAGCUGCAGAGGAGAAGAGAAGCACCAGUGGUCUAGUGGUAGAAUAGCACCCUGCCACGGGGUUCGAUUCCCGGCUGGUGCAUGUAUUUUUGUGGCCUUUUUGCCUUUUGGGGCAUUUGUCAGAAAAUACUAUCUCCACGCGCCUUCGUAAGUCACCAGCUUUUUUAAUUCAUAAAACUCUUGGACUGUCUCCAGAUCCAUAUCUUGUGGAUGUGGUCCAGCCAUCCAGACAAAUCGCAUCUUCGACGCACUUCUUAAUUCCUACCAGUAACCGCCCUUGAGCCUUCCCAUCCAAUUCCAACGAGCUGCCAGCUUAUAAUAACAACAACUUGCUCGGUCAAAGGACGAAAGGACAAACUGUGUCAUUAUUUGUUUUCGGUCAUUUCAAUGUGUGAACACUCACUGACUCACAUCAGAAAGACCAAUAAAUAUCCAUGAAAAUGGGACAUGGCUGCGGCGCAGAAGCUGCAAGUAACAGCUUCAAACCUUCCCAUUUCCAUCACCUUGCAUUGGGACCUCUUUCUCUCUCCUCUGGCACCCGUAGAAGUUCCCCAUUGGCUGCUGUUACUGACAGAAGCCGUAACAUAAUUGAUUCCGAGCUGCCCAUUUCGUACCCCUCUAACAGUCAAACGUUCACAUUAGUGGCGUAGUUCACAUCCCCUACAUUCAUCUGGAUCUAAUUAUAAAUACACACCCCACGAAGCAAAAGACAUUUCAUUUCAGUUGCGAGAGCAGAGCUUAGAGAGAAAAAAAAAGAAAAUGGCAAAAAGUGACGUGAAGGUUUUGGGUUUUUCGCCAAGCCCAUUUGUGAUGAGGGCAAGAAUCGCACUUAAGAUCAAGUCUGUGGAGUAUGAGUUUCUGGAGGAGAAUUUGGGAUCCAAAAGCGAGCUUCUGCUUAAAUCAAACCCUGUUCACAAGAAAAUCCCAGUUCUGAUUCACAAUGAUAAGCCUGUUUGCGAAUCUCUCAUUAUUGUCGAGUACGUGGAUGAGGCUUGGUCCUCUUCAGGUCCCUCUAUUCUUCCUUCUGAUCCUUAUGACCGUGCAGUUGCUCGUUUCUGGGCCGCUUACGUUGAUGAGAAGGUAUAUUUUCCUUUCUUUGUUUUGAAAAAAAUGUUUUAAGUCAAUGCUUUUUAUUCGAAUUAUGUGCAUCUAAAAUUUUUUAAUCUUUUUCAGUUUUGAAAACUGUUUUCGGAAAUUAAUAGAGUCUCUCUUGGUAAAUCAAGGAGGUAAAGCGCGUGAUUGGAAUUAUUUCCGGUGGAAAAAUGAACUUGAAAAGAAAACUAAAGAAAGAUUAAGAAAGCAGAGCCCAAAAGGAAAACAAUCAACACAAUCUAGAAGUAAAUCUGUAGAAGUGACGUAUACUCACAUAUCUAAGGAAACAAAUAUAUAUGAAUCUUAAGAGAUGAUACUGAUAGAGAUUAGAGAGAGAGCAAGAACGAAUCUUCAACUUGACAAAAAGCAUAUAAGAAUCAAUUGGCAGGUAGUGAUUGAAAUCUGGCCUUGAUUGAUCAAAUUAUGAUAUAUCUAUUAUGAUUUGCAGUGGUUCUCUGCCUUGAGAGACAUUGGUAGUGCAAAUGGAGCGGAAGCUAAGAAAGCUGCGAUUGAGCAAUUGAUUGAAGUCUUGGUUUUGCUGGAGGAUGCUUUUGUUAAGUGCAGCAAAGGGAAGCCUUUCUUUGGUGGAAACCAAAUUGGGUUUCUUGACAUUGCAUUUGGUAGCUACUUGGGAUGGCUGAGAGUGACAGAGAAAAUGAAUGAGGUGAAGCUCCUUGAUGAAGUCAAAACUCCUGGACUGUUGAAAUGGGCUGAGAGAUUCUGUGCUGACGCUGCUGUCAAAGAUGUUAUGCCUGAGACCGAUAAGCUUGCCAAACUCAGAGCUUCUGCUCCGCCUUCCAGCUGAUUUAAGCUAAAUACUGGACAUUAGUCUAGCAAUGGAACUAAGAAACUUAAUUAUGUGCUUGAAGGGGCCCAAAAACAAAAAAAAAAAAAAAAAGAGUUGUUUUCAGAAAUUAAUUCGAAUAAGAAUUAAUGGCGACCAUAAAGUUAGUAGUUUUGUUUUUGGUUUCGUUUGGAACGGUAAAGCCUGUAUCAUUUGGGUUCUGUUAUCGGACUAGGCAGCAGCCUGUCUCGUGUCUUAUAAAAUUGAAAUUCCUUUCAGUCAUUUGCUGGAAAGAGCUUAUUAUCUAUAUAUACUCAUGUAUAAUACCAAGUAAAGGUAUGAAGGUUAUUGUGUUGUUUUUUCUCUGUGGAAUUUUUCCCCACAUACAGUACACAUCUCGGCUACGUGCCAUAUAUGGUGUUAUAAAGUUAUCGUAUUAUGUAACGGUGAAAUUCCCGCAUGGCAUUUUGCAAGAAUUAACGAUUUUCAAACUCAGAAGACUUCUGUUUGCCACUGGAAUCUUAAAUUUUUGAGUUGCAAUCUGAAUUCUAAUGCACUUAUCAAUUGAAUAGUAUAAUAAAGAAAAAAAGAAAUUUUACAUUUAUUAUUCUGUACAUGAGUAAUACGUGGUAUUAAAAUUUAAGUUAGAACUUAGAUAUUGAAAUCUGUUUUGGCAUAUGGCUAUAAUCUAUUCACAACCUUUACAUUGCUGGACAAAGUAGUUGUUAAUAAAUAAUCAUAUCAAAACUGAUUAAAAUGACCAUCGAACAUGUGUUGAUAGAAGUGCAGAAUUUGACGUUCUGUCAUUCUCUUUCCCAGAAAUCAAUUCUUGACAACACCACCACACCAAAACUGUAUACAUUUCACUAUUUUCAGUAACCGAAACGGCCGGUAAAAUCCGGGUCUGUAUGCCCGGGCCUAUCUUGAGGCCCAAUUCGUCCUGACUUCGUCUUAACUUAAACAAGAAGCUGCAAUAAGCCACUGAGAGUCUGAAACUGCAGCGCCAGUCCACAUUUAAAGGAAAAAUAAAUAAAAAGAGAGAGAAAAAAUGGCAGCACUGAAGAAAAUCCCUUUGGUUCUGAUGGGAUGCGGAGGCGUCGGACGCCAGCUCCUCCAGCACAUUGUUUCCUGCCGAUCACUUCAUGCCAAUCUGGUACUCCUUCUCUGCUUUCCGAAGUUUAUUAGCGCUCCACAAAUUAACUAAUUAAUUAAUUAUUUAGUAGCUGCAUAUUCUUUAAUUAUUAUAUGACAUCGGAGAUGUAUUCUUUUGAUAUGCAUGUGCCUGCUUCUAAUAAGCUCGUCGAUGAUUCUGUUUCCAUAGAAGACUGGUAAAUUUGUUUUAACUGUAACACUUCAUGAUUGAUGAUCGGUCGGCACGGCAGGGAGUGCAUUUGCGAGUGGUAGGAGUAAGUGACAGCAAGUCCUUGGUUGUUGCGUCGGAUGUUUUCACAAAGGAGUUCAACGAUAACCUCUUAUCAGAAAUUUGUCGCCUCAAGGCGGACCACUCUUCUCUCUCAACGCUUAUUAGUGGUUUCGGA